AUAUAUGUAUUCAUUCACGUACGUAUGCGCACAUAUUGUAUAUGGUGCAUAAAUGCAUUAUCCGUAAAUGAUUCGAAAGUAACGCAUACAUUUUGCGCAGGUAGUUAUGCUAUAUUAUGUAAAUACAAGACUUUAAUCUGCAUAAAUAGUUCAUAAAAUUUGUUACAUUUAACAUCUUAUGUACGUUUAUCUAUUCAGAUCAUUAUUUAAUUUGUUAUUGAAUAUGCAACGGAUUUAUUUGUUUAUUUUAAUUUGAAAAUACAAAUAAAAUAGAUAUAACUUUAUUAAAAGGAAUAUGAUAAGGAUCAAAUUUUGAUGAAUCAAUUUAAUGAUUCUUAUAAAAUGAAAAGUAAAAUUAUAAAAGUACACUUAAAUUAUUAGAAAUAAGGUAAUGUGUAAAAAAUCAAAUAAUUGUAUAAUUUAAUUUGAAAUACAGCAAUGUUUGUGACCUGGGGUAAGUAUCAGAACAUAGACUAUAACUUUCUCUGUGUAUACAAUAAUAAAUAUUAACCAAUAGCAAGUAUGUAUAUAUACGCAAGUAAGUAAUAUGUGUUUACACAUGUAAACUAAUAUUUAAUUAAUAAAAUUGCUUGCACUGUAUAGUCUAUGUAUUAAAAACAUUUUUUUUUAUAAAUAGUACCAAAAUAUUUUAUUGUACGACAGAUACACAAUUGUUUAUGUAAAUGUUUUAAUAACUUAGCAAGAUUAUAUGAUACUACAAUAUAUUAACAAAAGAAAAUUAAAUUUUAUAGGGUUUGCGAAACAACGGAAGUACCAUGAUAAAGAAAGUUUCAUUACACAUAUGAAAAUAUUAUAACAACUAUUCUAACAUAUUUAUCACUAAUAAUUCCAUAAAACUGAAUAAAAUUAAUUCGAUAAUAAAUUCACGAUAUACAUCUAGUAAUUCGUUGUCCCCAUAUGUAUCCUAAUAAAGCUGGAUACAUGCGAAACAGGAAUUAACAUUGUUCUAGUUUAAAAAUAAUUGUACAAAUGUAGUUUUCGAAAAAUUGGGUAUCAGAAACUUCUAUUACAAAAUGAUUACAACAAAUCAAAUCUACUUUUCUUAUUAAAUCUGUGUUAAAAGUUUUGAAUACACAUAAUAGUAAUGAUAGACUGGAACAGUACACCAAAAUAUUUACAUUAUAGGGGACUGGUUCACAAAUGGAGUUCAAUCUGCAAAGCUUGACACGCAAAGCUUCCUUGAUUCUGUAAUUAUAACCAAUAAUAGCAUUACAAAAAGAAUUCCUUUAUCUACAAAUGAAAUGUAUAAAUCUUAUAAUGGUGAGAUAACUCGCAAUGGAAUAUAGAUCUAAUAAUUAUUUUUAAUAUCCCGAAAUACAGAGAUAUUAUUGGGCAGCACCUUUUUUACUACCUAUUGGAGCAGCUUUCAUUCUUGCCUUGCUAGUUCUUUUAAUGGUUUUAUUCAAAAGAUGUCCACACAUAAUCGUAACGAGUAUCAUAUCGAUUCUUGGAGC